GUCGCUCUCUCACUGUUGACACUGUAGCCAAAACAACCGAUAGCGUAGGAUCCCAAAAUGGUGGACGGGCUCAGACACCUGCCAUAGCGUCACCUGACAACAACCUACCAUGACAA